AAAGGAGUGACUGAGAAGUCAAUGUAAAAACACGUGAGCAUUAUUGCAUAACACGCGUCGAAUAUAUCCACGCAAUUUCCCACCGCUGACACAUGGACCACCACCAUUAGGAAUGAUAAUAUAGGAGUUGGACCGCUGGCCUGGUUCGUAAAAACCUGCUGUAAAGUGGAAUUGGGACGGUUUUAAUAAGCCCAAAAAGGGGCUUUGCGGGAUGGGACUGUGUGGGAUUGGGCCGAAUGCGGGAUGUACCACAUGUUGACUUGCGGAAAAUUGAAGAUCCGUAAGUAUUCACCUGAAAAACGAAAGAGGGAGAGAGAGAGAGAGAGAGAGAGAGAGAAGGCGAUUCGACCUUAGAUGUUCGCUAACAACCUAUGGAGGUUCGGUGGUGGCGAUUUGAGGAUCGAUGAUGCUUCCGGUCUCUCAUGUGUCUUCUAUCUCCAAUGGAGCUUCUUUAAACCACCGAGAAAAAUUUGGGAACUCACUUUCCACCACCGGCGAUGGGUUCUUCAGCGUUGACUGCAUGCAUGUCACAGGGAAAAAAAAACAAUCAUGAGUUGUUGUCGAGUUAUAUUUUCUAAGGUCUAACACUCUAAAUCAUUAUUUCAGGUGGGUUAUCUUCUUCUUCUGGAACUUCUCUGCUUCGAUACACCACCGGAGAUUCUAUUCUUUUUAGAUUCACCACCUGAGCUUUUAUUCUUCUAAGAUCCAUCGCUGAAGCUUCUCUUUUGCGACAUGCAUGGUUCUAAUUUCCCGACUUCAAACUUGUAUUUCUAUCAAGUUUGGAAGAUGCAUGAAUGGCUUCAAAUAAAUGAGGACACCAAAGAUGAGAUUGUCAGAAAGAAGGUGUCACCGAUAAAAGAGAAGUUCGAUAAGUAUUGGGAUGAAGUAGUGGUGUUUCUGUAAUGGCAGCAGUCUUUGAUCUACGUUUUAAGCUUUCAACUUUCGAAUGUUUUUUAGAGAAGCUUGACACACGUGAUGUGAAGUUGAAUAACUUGCGCCAAAAGCUGAGUAUCCUGUUCUAGUCUUACAACAAAAAAUCCAAGGCUAAUUCACGUUCUACAGAGCCACGUGAGACGGUUCCACAAAACGUGUCUGCUGCAAGAUAAAUGGGAAUUUUUGGGAACUACCAAGUUAGUCUUUUUGAAUUUUUAACAUUCUGUUUCCUUUUUAAAUUAUUUCUUUUUUUUUUUCUAAAACUCAAUAGAAUUUCUUUUGUAUUUUGCAAAGUUAGUGUGGAAAGACAGCUCUAGAAGCUUAUCUUGAUGAAUCUCCUUUGGACAUUGAUAAUUUCAGGAGCUUGGACAUUCCCCAAUUCUGAAAAGAUAAUAAUCAUCGGUAUAGUGAUUCAGUUGACAUUGCUUGUGAUCUGCUUAGUAUUUCUAUCACAACAAUGGUUUCGGAGUCCUCCUUUAGUAUUGGGGCACAUGUUCUUAACAAAUAUAGAAGCCGUCUAUUUCCAAAAAAUAUGCAAGCUCUAAUAUGCAUUAGGAAUUAGAUCAAGGGAUGCGAAGCUUAUGAACAUGAUGAAAUCGAUCCUGAAGAGGAGACAUUACUAUCUUUUGAGUCCAUUGCCAAAACGGAAGCUGAAGAUGCAGAAGUUUGAUAUGUUUUCUUGAUUUUGUGUUUUGACAAGCUGAGAUUUUAUGUUUAAGUUGCUUGGUUUUAUUUUUGGUACUAUGAUUUGGUGUUUUCCUUUAUUACAAUUUGUGAUUUCUUG